GUAGUCGAUGGGAAACGGGUUAAUAUUCCCGUACUUCUUACAAUUGCGAUGGGGGGACGGAGAAGGCUAGGUGGGCCUGGCGACGGUUGUCCAGGUUCAAGUGCGUAGGCUUAAGAGUUAGGUAAAUCCGGCUCUUUUUAAGGCUGAGACACGACGUCGAGCACCUACGGGUGUGAAGUCAUUGAUGCCAUGCUUCCAGGAAAAGCCUCUAAGCUUCAGAUUG
rnacentral:rRNA from 1 species